rnacentral:tRNA from 1 species
GUCCAGGGGCGGGAAUCGAACCCACAACCUUCCGCUUACCGGGCAGAUGCCAUGUCCACUAGGUUACCCUGGA